rnacentral:rRNA from 1 species
AGGGAAUCUUCCACAAUGGGCGAAAGCCUGAUGGAGCAACGCCGCGUGGGUGAAGAAGGUCUUCGGAUCGUAAAACCCUGUUGUUAGAGAAGAAAGUGCGUGAGAGUAACUGUUCACGUUUCGACGGUAUCUAACCAGAAAGCCACGGCUAACUACGUGCCAGCAGCCGCGGUAAUACGUAGGUGGCAAGCGUUAUCCGGAUUUAUUGGGCGUAAAGGGAACGCAGGCGGUCUUUUAAGUCUGAUGUGAAAGCCUUCGGCUUAACCGGAGUAGUGCAUUGGAAACUGGGAGACUUGAGUGCAGAAGAGGAGAGUGGAACUCCAUGUGUAGCGGUGAAAUGCGUAGAUAUAUGGAAGAACACCAGUGGCGAAAGCGGCUCUCUGGUCUGUAACUGACGCUGAGGUUCGAAAGCGUGGGUAGCAAACA